rnacentral:rRNA from 1 species
UACGAGUGCGUCGAGCGUUAUCCGGAAUCAUUGGGCGUAAAGGGUGUGUAGGCGGCUAUGUUAGUCUCGCGUUAAAUUCCUCGGCUUAACCGAGGAGCUGCGUGGGAAACGGCAUUGCUCGAGAUCGGUAGGGGUCACUGGAACUCUAGGUGUAGCGGUGAAAUGCGUUGAUAUCUAGGGGAACACCAAAAGCGAAGGCAGGUGACUGGACCGCUUCUGACGCUGAAACACGAAAGCGUGGGUAGCGAAUGGG